GCGGGAGAAGAGUUCUUUAUGACAGCGACAAUGGGGACAGAGGAACGGUGACUGGAAGAUUCUUUCCUUGCAGUGAACGCACGUACUGUGGGUGCUGUGCCUUCCUCGGGGUGUAUGUACGUAGGCAGGCACACACCAGUCAGCUUGCAUUCUGUGGGUGAUACUCUCUGAGGUGGACUGGGUCACCUGGGAGCUUCCGGGGUCCGUGGACGGGGACCACUGAUGAACGGGUGGUGCAGGAGCUGUAGGAAGUAACUUUCAAGCAGUCACCGUGAUGAAAGCUCCCUUCUGCUCUCGGGUCCUGCCGUGGAGGAACAAGGCCAGGUGGGUGCAGGUCAGGGGAGG
rnacentral:lncRNA from 1 species